rnacentral:siRNA from 1 species
CGGGUAGAAUCCUUUGCAGACG